UGGGGAAUUUUGGACAAUGGGGGAAACCCUGAUCCAGCCAUCCCGCGUGUGCGAUGAAGGCCUUCGGGUUGUAAAGCACUUUUGGCAGGAAAGAAACGUCGCGGGUUAAUACCCCGCGAAACUGACGGUACCUGCAGAAUAAGCACCGGCUAACUACGUGCCAGCAGCCGCGGUAAUACGUAGGGUGCAAGCGUUAAUCGGAAUUACUGGGCGUAAAGCGUGCGCAGGCGGUUCGGAAAGAAAGAUGUGAAAUCCCAGAGCUUAACUUUGGAACUGCAUUUUUAACUACCGGGCUAGAGUGUGUCAGAGGGAGGUGGAAUUCCGCGUGUAGCAGUGAAAUGCGUAGAUAUGCGGAGGAACACCGAUGGCGAAGGCAGCCUCCUGGGAUAACACUGACGCUCAUGCACGAAAGCGUGGGGAGCAAACAGGAUUAGAUACCCUGGUAGUCCACGCCCUAAACGAUGUCAACUAGUUGUUGGGGAUUCAUUUCCUUAGUAACGUAGCUAACGCGUGAAGUUGACCGCCUGGGGGAGUACGUCGCAAGAUUAAAACUUAAAUGAAUUG
rnacentral:rRNA from 1 species